rnacentral:rRNA from 1 species
UACGUAGGGUGCGAGCGUUAAUCGGAAUUACUGGGCGUAAAGCGUGCGCAGGCGGUUCUCCAAGUCCGUUGUGAAAGCCCCGGGCUUAACCUGGGAACUGCGCUCGAAACUACUUGGCUGGAGUGUGGCAGAGGGAGGUGGAAUUCCACGUGUAGCGGUGAAAUGCGUAGAGAUGUGGAGGAACACCGAUGGCGAAGGCAGCCUCCUGGGCCAACACUGACGCUCAUGCACGAAAGCGUGGGGAGCAAACAGG